UACGUAGGCGGAAGAUUAAGUCAGUGGUGAAAUCCUGCAGCUUAACUGUAGAACUGUCAUUGAUACUGGUUUUCUUGAAUUUAGUUGAGGUAGGCGGAAUGUGUAAUGUAGCGGUGAAAUGCUUAGAUAUUACACAGAACACCGAUUGCGAAGGCAGCUUACUAAACUAUGAUUGACGCUGAGGUACGAAAGCGUGGGGAGCGAACAGGAUUAGAUACCCUGGUAGUCC
rnacentral:rRNA from 1 species